CCUACGGGAGGCAGCAGUGGGGAAUAUUGGGCAAUGGGCGCAAGCCUGACCCAGCAAUGCCGCGUGAAGGAAGAAGGCUUUCGGGUUGUAAACUUCUUUGACAGGGGAAGAGCAGAAGACGGUACCCUGAAAACAAGCCACGGCUAACUACGUGCCAGCAGCCGCGGUAAUACGUAGGUGGCAAGCGUUGUCCGGAUUUACUGGGUGUAAAGGGCGUGUAGCCGGGAAGGCAAGUCAGAUGGGAAAUCUGGAGGCUCAACCUCCAAAUUGCAGUUGAAACUGUUUUUCUUGAGUACUGGAGAGGCAGACGGAAUUCCUUGUGUAGCGGUGAAAUGCGUAGAUAUAAGGCGGAACCCCAGUGGCGAAGGCGGUCUGCUGGACAGCAACUGACGGUGAGGCGCGAAAGCGUGGGGAGCAAACAGGAUUAGAUACCCGUGUAGUC
rnacentral:rRNA from 1 species